rnacentral:rRNA from 1 species
UGGGGAAUUUUGGACAAUGGGCGCAAGCCUGAUCCAGCCAUGCCGCGUGUCUGAAGAAGGCCUUCGGGUUGUAAAGGACUUUUGUCAGGGAAGAAAAGGGCGGGGUUAAUACCCCUGUCUGAUGACGGUACCUGAAGAAUAAGCACCGGCUAACUACGUGCCAGCAGCCGCGGUAAUACGUAGGGUGCGAGCGUUAAUCGGAAUUACUGGGCGUAAAGCGGGCGCAGACGGUUACUUAAGCAGGAUGUGAAAUCCCCGGGCUCAACCUGGGAACUGCGUUCUGAACUGGGUGACUAGGGUGUGUCAGAGGGAGGUAGAAUUCCACGUGUAGCAGUGAAAUGCGUAGAGAUGUGGAGGAAUACCGAUGGCGAAGGCAGCCUCCUGGGAUAACACUGACGUUCAUGCCCGAAAGCGUGGGUAGCAAACA